rnacentral:lncRNA from 1 species
CUUAGCAUAAUGACUAAUUGAGAGAACAUUUCACUCUACUAACAUUUUUCAUUUAUGAUGUGUCAAAACAUGUCUUUUGGGGAGGGUGUGUUCCAAAAAUAGAAUUCUUUAUUUCACAUUGAUCAUGUUUCUGAUUUUAUUUACAAUUUAUGAAUUCUUUUCCACUUAAUGGUUUUCUUCCUGUUCACUGGUUGGCUGAGCUGACUUCUCUCAUGCUCCCUCCACCGCUAACUUGGUGUAUUUUUGGCUGUCCUAUCUAUAUUGCAUCUUGGACCCCGUGGGUCCUGGCAUGUGCUGUGUGCUCUUUCUGUCCUUGAUAGGAUCAUAGGCCUUUUCUUUCCACAUGUACAUUUUCCCCAAUACAAUUGUUUUUUUUUUUUGAGGCAGGGUCUCACUCUGUCACUCAAGCUGGAGUGCAGUGGUGCGAUCUCGGCUCACUGAAACCUCCACUUCCUAGAUUCAAGCGAUCCGCCUACCUCAGCUUCUCUAGUAGCUGGGACUACAGUCACUUGCCAACAUGCCCGGCAAAUUUUUGUAUUUUUAGUAGAGACGGGGUUUCACCAUGUUGGUUGGGUUGGUCUUGAACUCCUGAUCCCAGGCGAUCUGCCCGCCUCGGCCUCCCCAAGUGCUGGGAUUACAGGUGAGAGCCACUGAGCCCGGCUCCCAAUACAGUUUUUUAUUGCAAAAUUCAUGCCCUAAUGGAGUCUCCUGUCGUGUGCCUUGUUUCCAUUAACUAGGCAUCAUCUUUUUUUUUUUAAUGUUUUAUUUCGUAGCCUAUCUGCUGAUGUGGCAUCACUUUUGUUUCCAGUAAAUGAAAGGAAAACAUUUCCACUCACUUAGGCAAAAAGAAGAAGAAAAGCUUGAGUGCUCAGCUGUUCUCUGAGAUGAGAUAGGACUUCAGCUUAGAGUGCAAUCUACACUGUCAGCUCUCUGGCUCUCCAGCCUUCAGACUACACCACCGGCUUUCCUGGGUGUCCAGCUCGCAGACAGCAGAUGCAUAGCUCCCUGUGACUGACACAUUCCUCAGAGUAUGCUGU